rnacentral:tRNA from 1 species
CCUCUUGUAGCUUAAUGGUUAGAGCAGUGAUACGUAAAGUCAAAGGUCCCGGGUUCCAUUCCGGGCGAUAGCA